AUAUAUAGCCUCACUAUUUGUGCUGCCUGUCACCAAUUGCAUCUGAUCUUGGAAGCUAAGGAAGGUCAGGCCUGGUUAGUAUUGGGACAGAAAAUCAACUAGGAAGUAAUAAAAU
rnacentral:rRNA from 1 species